AUGUAGAGCAAUCUGUCUUUUAAGUAGAGAUAAAUUACUCUAAAAGAAAUAAAUCCUAGAUAUCCCCUCAAGUCAAGCAUCUUGU
rnacentral:pre_miRNA from 1 species